GAUUAUUCCAUCCAAGCUCUUAACACCGAGCUGAUAUAGCUCCUCAAAGUGCCCAGGUCUAUUGGGAGCUAAAACGGCACGACAGGCUCCCCGGGGAGCAAGCAGGGUUCCUGAGCGCGUGUACUGUGCCACCAACAUGGCAGCCCAAAGGCCCACGCUGGGCGCGAGUGCACACACUGCUGACAGGCAACAAGUUAAUCUGAGCCCUGUCACCUCAUUACUUGGGACUGUAGCAGCGGAGCCUUACAACAUACCAUUGAAUACUCUUGGCUUACCUGACUUACAUACCCAAGAUCUGGACCUGGUCCCCACGACAGCCUUCCUGGGCCUUGAGCCCCUAGAAGACUCUAUGCCUGAGCACACUCCAUCAGUUAGGCAUCCCGUAACCGUCCAGAAUUGGAACCGGAACCGAGGACACAAGUGGUUGCUCAUGCAGAGCCCGGGGCUGGCAGAGUGGUACAUACCAGACCAGCCUUCUCAUCAAGACUCCGCUCACACUACCAUCAGGUUGGAGGAGGGUGAGCCACAGGACUGGAGGACACAGCAAGCCCUGCAGCAUUACCUGGUCAGCAGCUCAGUGCAGUAGAACCCGGGAAACAGCAUGAUUUCUCCAGAGAGAAUCCAGUGGAGCCUAUCACUUGGGAUUUUUGCUCACAGCUUAUAUCUGAGUUUGACUCACAUACAACCCCACACGGAAUCAACACCGAUGCUCCCCCUUAUGUCUGCCGACACAUACUCACAUAAGCAUACUUUCAUCACUCCAUCUAAGCAAUGUCCUCCCUAUGCUUUUUCUUGGUCUGCUACAUGUUCAGCUAGACAUUAUUACUUAGUUUAGUCUUAUCUAUCAGACUUGUUAUCUCUCCGAAUGCCACUACAAGGUUUACUAACUGUUUAUUAAUUCUAUUUUCA